rnacentral:tRNA from 1 species
GUCUCCGUGGCGCAAUUGGUUAGCGCGUCUGACUGUUAUUUGGAUUAAUCAGGAGGUUGACAGUUCAAUCCUGUCCGGGGACG